rnacentral:rRNA from 1 species
GACGAACGCUGGCGGCGUGCCUAAUACAUGCAAGUAGGACGCAGUUGCGAACGCGGGAGUAACGCGUAGGUGACUACCUAUUAGAGGGGGAUAACGAUUGGAAACGAUAGCUAAUACCGAAUACUAGUAGAUGGACCUGCGUUGUAUUAGCUAGUAGGUCGGGUAAUGGCUUACCCAGUCAACGAUACAUAGCCGCACUGGGGUGGGUGUCGGCCCAACUGGGACCGGGGCCACGCCCAGACUCCUACGGGAGGCCACAGGAGGGAAACUUUGGCAAUUGGGGGAACCCUGGCCGGGCAACGCCGCGGGAGUGAAGAAGGUUUUCGGAUCGUAAAGGUCUGUUGUUAAGGAAGCGGUACUUAACCAGAAAGGGACGGCUAACUACGUGCCAGCAGCCGCGGUAAUAC